rnacentral:snRNA from 1 species
AGCUUAGAGCAGUGACAGUAUCAUAGCCAAUGAGGUUUAUCCAAGGCGCAAUUAUUGCUAAUUGAAAAAAAAGAACAUGAUUUUAUCAGAGGACUAAUCUAUUGUUAGACCAAAGCUGCACAACCCAG